GAACGAACGCUGGCGGCAGGCUUAACACAUGCAAGUCGAACGCUGUAGCAAUACAGAGUGGCAGACGGGUGAGUAACGCGUGGGAACGUGCCCUUCGGUUCGGAAUAACUCAGGGAAACUUGAGCUAAUACCGGAUACGUGCGAGAGCAGAAAGAUUUAUCGCCGAAGGAUCGGCCCGCGUCCGAUUAGCUAGUUGGUGAGGUAAUGGCUCACCAAAGCGACGAUCGGUAGCUGGUCUGAGAGGAUGAUCAGCCACACUGGGACUGAGACACGGCCCAGACUCCUACGGGAGGCAGCAGUGGGGAAUAUUGGACAAUGGGCGAAAGCCUGAUCCCAGCCAUGCCGCGUGAGUGAUGAAGGCCCUAGGGUUGUAAAGCUCUUUCGCCAGGGACGAUAAUGACGGUACCUGGAUAAGAAGCCCCGGCUAACUUCGUGCCAGCCGCUGC
rnacentral:rRNA from 1 species